rnacentral:sRNA from 1 species
AUUCUUUAAUUUAUAUUUUUUGAUCGCUAAAUUGUUCGUUUGCAUGUCGUUGGAUCCAGCGACUAAAACCAGCGACUAAUCGCUGAAAUCAGCGACUGAUCGCUAAAAAUUUCAGCGACCAAAAAUUGCGGUCGCUGGUCGCUGGCGAUUGUCGUUACUUUUGAUCGCUAUGCAAACAAACAACUUUUGGUCGUUGUCGCUGGUUUCAGUCGUCAGCGACAGGCAAACGAACACAGACAAGCAAACGAACACAGGCAAACGAACAGGACCCUAAUUUACCAAAAUGAAACAAAAUAUAAUUAUCCAUGUCCAAAAAGAA